UUCAAGUUGGUUGGCAGUUUAAAAUUUGCUCAGUUUGGAGGUUAGGUUUGUUUACGUUUACUACAUAUUUAUUUGGACGGUUUCAUCCGGAUAAAAUUAAGUCAUAUUCGUUCAUUGUAAAAUCCAUGGUAUCAGUUAAAUUGAUUGGAGAAAAAGACAAAAAUUUAAAGUCGAAUGUUUAAGUUUCGUAAACCAUUAUUGACAAAAGUGCUGUCAAGCCGAAACAUGUAAACUUGACUGUUAAAUAUUAAACAAUUAAACUUUAUAAGUUUGAGGAAUAUAACAUAAAAGAAAUUGAGAUGAAUAUUGCAAUCUUAACUCCUUGUGUAGUUUAAAUAAGCGGAUAUUUUACAGUUUUUUUUUGAAAAAAAGCAAGUCCAGCCAAUAAUGGAGGCCAAUAAUCUAUUGAAUGCAGUAGAAUUAUGUUUUGCUCUGUAUUUUAUAUUAAAUACUCAGUAUCCUAAAACAAUAGCUGGACUGUUAGAAACUGUACAAUGUUAUUUUCUAAAAAUUCAAACACAAAAUAGUCGUGCUGUAAGUACCAAAAAGAAUAAAAUGAUAUCCCUUUUAAAGAUGUUAAAUAAUCUGUAGCUGUAUAUACUCAAUGCUGUAUAUUUCAAUUAAUCAACGGUUUAGUAAGAAUAAUCCUUAAAUUUAAUUUUGUGUUAACUCUGCCUUUCUGAGUCAAUAGGAAUCUUCGAGGUCAAGGGUGGUUAUGUAUCUUUUAAGAUUGUUUUUUUUGUAUAACUUUAUUAACAGUGACAAUUUCAUUGUAAUUGCACUUGUCAAAAUUUCAAAUUCAACUAAUUAAAGCUAAGUACAAUAUGAAAAUAAAGUUAUCAAUAAUAGCAGAUUGCGUUCUAUAACCACCCUUGACUUGGAUGAUAUUACGGCAUUUAUGAUAGAUAUUGUAGA